GUAGGUGGCAAGCGUUGUCCGGAAUUAUUGGGCGUAAAGCGCGCGCAGGCGGUCCUUUAAGUCUGAUGUGAAAGCCCACGGCUCAACCGUGGAGGGUCAUUGGAAACUGGGGGACUUGAGUACAGAAGAGGAAAGCGGAAUUCCAAGUGUAGCGGUGAAAUGCGUAGAGAUUUGGAGGAACACCAGUGGCGAAGGCGGCUUUCUGGUCUGUAACUGACGCUGAGGCGCGAAAGCGUGGGGAGCAAACAGGGAUUAGAUAUCCUGGUAGUCCACGCCGUAAACGAUGAGUGCUAAGUGUUAGGGGGUUUCCGCCCCCUUAGUGCUGCAGCUAACGCAUUAAGCACUCCGCCUGGGGAUACGGCCGCAAGGCUG
rnacentral:rRNA from 1 species